UUAGGAUGCUGGCAUAAUGGCUUUAAACGACCCGUCUUGUAACACGGACCAAGGAGUUGACCUAGCGUGCGAGUGUUUGGGUGCAAAGCCCUUACGCGCAGUGAAAGCGAAUGCAGGUGGGAGCUUCGGCGCACCAUCGACCGAUCCUGAAGUUUACGGAUGGAUUUGAGUAAGAGCACGUUGGGUCUGACCCGAAAGAAGGUGAACUAUGCAUGAAUAGGGUGAAGCCAGAGGAAACUCUGGUGGAGGCUCGCAGCGGUUCUGACGUGCAAAUCGAUCGUCAAAUUUGGGUAUAGGGGCGAAAGACUAAUCGAACC
rnacentral:rRNA from 15 species